CUCCACCGCCCCACCACCGCACCCACAAGCUCUUCCUCCUCUGCAACUACAUCCUCCUCGGCGCCGCCUCCGCCUGCAUCUUCCUCACCCUCUCCCUCCGCCUCCUCCCCGCCCCCUGCGGCCUCCUCAUCAUCCUCCUCCAUGCACUCACCAUCGCCGGCGUCAUCUCCUCCUGCGCAGCCCCCACCUCCGGCUCCCCACGCUGG
rnacentral:misc_RNA from 1 species